rnacentral:rRNA from 1 species
GAUGAACGCUGGCGGCGCGCCUAACACAUGCAAGUCGAACGGCACCCCACCUCGGUGGGAAGCGAGUGGCGAACGGCUGAGUAACACGUGGAGAACCCGCCCCCUCCUCCGGGAUAGCCUCGGGAAACCGUGGGUAAUACCGGAUGACGCCCGGACGACGCAUGUCGCCCGGGCCAAAGCCCAGACGGGAGGGGAUGGCUCCGCGGCCCAUCAGGUAGACGGCGGGGUGAAGGCCCACCGUGCCGACGACGGGUAGCCGGGUUGAGAGACCGACCGGCCAGAUUGGGACUGAGACACGGCCCAGACUCCUACGGGAGGCAGCAGUGGGGAAUCUUGCGCAAUGGGGGGAACCCUGACGCAGCGACGCCGCGUGCGGGACGAAGGCCCUAGGGUCGUAAACCGCUUUCAGCAGGGAUGAGACAAGACGGUACCC